AAAGUCCUACGAUGCACGUCAGUUCAUAAUGUCUUAAACCGAUAUUUUUAAUACGGGAAAUUAAUUAUCUAUUUUAGCCAACAAGCCCUCCACAUUCGAAGGGACGUUGAAAAAAAUAGUGAAAUUACCCACCUGCAGGAGUGCGGGUAUUAAGACUUUGGAACAACGGCAAAGUGGGGACCAA
rnacentral:other from 1 species